GAUGAACGCUGGCGGCGUGCCUAAUACAUGCGAGUCGAGCGAACAGACGAGGAGCUUGCUCCUCUGACGUUAGCGGCGGACGGGUGAGUAACACGUGGAUAACCUACCUAUAAGACUGGGAUAACUUCGGGAAACCGGAGCUAAUACCGGAUAAUAUAUUGAACCGCAUGGUUCAAUAGUGAAAGACGGUUUUGCUGUCACUUAUAGAUGGAUCCGCGCCGCAUUAGCUAGUUGGUAAGGUAACGGCUUACCAAGGCAACGAUGCGUAGCCGACCUGAGAGGGUGAUCGGCCACACUGGAACUGAGACACGGUCCAGACUCCUACGGGAGGCAGCAGUAGGGAAUAUUCCGCAAUGGGCGAAAGCCUGACGCAGCAAUGCCGCGUGAGUGAUGAAGGUCUUCGGAUCGUAAAGCUCUGUUAUUAGGGAAGAAAAAAUGUGUAAGUAACUAUGCACGUCUUGACGGUACCUAAUCAGAAAGCAACGGCUAACUACGUG
rnacentral:rRNA from 1 species